AUUGAACGCUGGCGGCAGGCCUAACACAUGCAAGUCGAACGAGUGGCGGACGGGUGAGUAAUGUCUGGGAAACUGCCUGAUGGAGGGGGAUAACUACUGGAAACGGUAGCUAAUACCGCAUACCAUCGGAUGUGCCCAGAUGGGAUUAGCUAGUGGGUGGGGUAAAGGCUCACCUAGGCGACGAGCCCUAGCUGGUCUGAGAGGAUGACCAGCCACACGGGAACUGAGACACGGUCCAGACUCCUACGGGAGGCAGCAGUGGGGAAGAUUGCACAAUGGGCGAAAGCCUGACGCAGCCAUGCCGCGUGUAUGAAGAAGGCCUUCGGGUUGUAAAGUACUGUCGGCGGGGAAGCGUUAUCCGACGAGGAAGCACCGGCUAACUCCGUGCCAGCAGCCGCGGUAAUUC
rnacentral:rRNA from 1 species